rnacentral:rRNA from 1 species
GUGCCAGCCGCCGCGGUAAUACCGGCAGCCCGAGUGAUGGCCGAUCUUAUUGGGCCUAAAGCGUCCGUAGCUGGCUGCGCAAGUCCGUCGGGAAAUUCAGUAGCUCAACUACUGGGCGUCCGGCGGAAACUACAAGGCUUGGGACCGGAAGGCUCGAGGGGUACGUCCGGGGUAGGAGUGAAAUCCUGUAAUCCCGCACGGACCACCGAUGGCGAAACCACCUCAGGAGAACGGAUCCGACAGUGAGGGACGAAAGCCAGGGUCUCGAACCGGAUUAGAUACCCCGGUAGUCC